UUGCUCAUUUCAACAGCACAUAUACUAAAAUUGGAACACUACAGAGAAGACUAGCAUGGCCUCUGUGCAAGGAUGACGAAUUCACAAAACAUUCCAUAUUUUU
ensembl:snRNA U6 U6 spliceosomal RNA